rnacentral:lncRNA from 1 species
AUGGUGUCAUAGAAUCCUCUUAUGCCACCAGAGUUUCAUUAUGUUCCUGCUGAUGGCAGAAGUGCAAAAGAGUGAGGAGAAGCCCCCAGUGCUCUUAAAGCCUCAGCCUAGGACUGUCACCUCUGCUUAGCUUACUAUCAGUGGGGUGAGGAAAUAUACAUCACCUUUUGUGGAAGGAACGUCAAGGUCAUACAGCUAAAGAUGUGGAGACAGGGAAAGCUUGGCAGGCUCUAGAGAGACUGACCUCUGCAGAUGGUUUAAAGGGAGAAGCUCAAGGGUCCACAGUUCACAGGGCUGCCAAUCAGGCCUGUGCAGAAAACUCAACAGUCUAAAAGAAUAUAUGAAGACAGAACCUCAACCUAGAAGAAAUGGACAAAUUCCCAGACACAUCAAGGAAUUCCUAGACAAACUAUCAAAACUGAAUCAUGAUUAGAUAGAAAAUCUGAACAGAUCAAUAUAAGUAAAGAGAUUAAAGCAGUAAUAAACUCUCCCAUCAAAGAAAAGCUCAGGACCUGAUGGCUUCACUGCUGAAUUCUACCAAACGUUUAAAGAACUAACACCAAUGAUUCUCAAACUCUUUUUAAAAAUUGAAGAUGAGAGAACACUUCCAAAUUCAUAUCACGAGGCCAGCAUUACCCUGAUACCAACGCCAGACAAAGACACUAUAAGAAAAGGCAAUUAUGGACCAAUAUCCCUGAUAAACAUGGAUGUAAAAAUCCUCAUCAAAAUACUAGCAAAUGAAAUUCAACCACAAAUUUAAAAAAGCAUUCACCAUGAUCGAGUGGGAUUUAUCCCUGGGAUGCAGGAAGUUUCAACAUACACAAAUCCAUAAACAUGAUACACCACAUCAACAAGAUGAAGGACAAAAUCUUUAUAAUCUCAAUAGAUGCAGGAAAAGCAUUUAACAGAAUUCAGCACCCUUUCAUGAUUUAAAAAAACUCAACAAAAUAUAGAAGGACUGUACCCCAACACAAUAAAGACCAGAUAUGACAAACCCACAGCUAACAUUCUCAACAGUGAAAAGUUAAAAGCUUUUCUUCUGAGAUCAGGAACAAGACAAUAAUGCUCACUCUCUCGACUUCUGUUCAUCGUAACGUUGGAAGUUCUAGACAGAGCAAUUAGACAAAAAAAAAAAAAGAGAUAAAAGGCAUCCAAACUGAAAAGGAAGAAGUUAAAUUGUCCCUGUUUACAGAUAUCAUGAUCUUCUGUACAGAAAACUCUGGCUGGGUGCUGUGGCUCAUGCCUGUAAUCCCAGCUACUCAGGAGACUGAGGCAGGAGAAUAGCUUGAACCCGGGAGGUGGAGAUUCCAGUGAGCCAAGAUUGCACCACUGCUCUCCAGCCUGGGUGACAGAGUGAGACUCUGUCUCAAAAAAAAAAAAAAAAAAAAAAAAAAGAAGAAGAAGAAAAGGAGGAGAAGAAGAGGAGGAGGAGGAGGAAGAAGAAGAAGAGAACAACUCUAAAGACUCCAGCAAAAAAAAAAAAAAAAAGCUUUUGGAAUUAAUAAAUGAAUUCAGUAAAGUUGCA